rnacentral:lncRNA from 1 species
CUUUUCCCUUCAAGAAGGCACGUCAGAAAGCUGUGCACAGGCUAGAUUCCUAAGUCCCAUUAAGUCAGUGCUGGGGCCACUGUUUCUGGAAGAAAAUGUGGAUAACUAAGCUCCAGAGAAGCCCCUGGUAUGUAGAAAUAGCAGGACUCAGGGGAAAGACUCAGGGGGCUGUUUUCUCUGGGCUGUGCCAGCUCUAGAUCCAUCUGUCCCCCACUUCCUCUUCCCUCCCCUCCCUGCUGGCCAUGACUGGACUCCAGUGGGCUCCUUUGUGUGGAGUCACCUGAUGCAGCUGCUGGAAACUGAUGACCCUCUGAAGCGAGCUCUCCAGGAGGCCCUCCCUGAGGACAUCCUGAGCCAGGAGUUCCAGCCAGAGACCUGGAAACACUCAUCCUAUUCUGAUGUCACCUUCCGCUCAGUGUCUGGCAGCCUGGGAAUGAACCUGGAGCGGACCCUCCUCUUUUCUCCAGCUUCCUUUCUCCCCCGUUUUGCCAUGACUAACCUGACCAUCCAUGCCCUAGGUCAUGGCUUCAACCUCCUGGAGCUUGGCCUCCGCUUGGAAAAUGCAGAGAAAAUCAUCCACAGGCUGUUGGGCGGGAAGUCAUUCUGGGGGCAGGAAGAGGAGAGAGAGGGCCAGCCGGAGAAGUCCUCAGAGCCAGACCCAGGGCCCUCAGCACAGGCAGCCAAACCUGACUGUCCAGAAGAAAGGUCCAGAAAGAUGAGAGACCUGCAGCAGAAGGUGGCCCGGAGGCACGCGGAGCGGCGGGCGCUGCAGUGUGAGCUGAGUGUGAAGGUGUUCGGGCACGAGCUGAGCUAUGUGAACUGUGGGGUGAUGGGGAGCCACAUGAAACGCCAGUCCUUGCACCUGGCCGAGCUGGCAGUCAAACUCCUGAAGUGCCCUGCUCCAGAUCUCAGCGCAGAUGGGCACAGUGGGCGCCCUGGGGCAGGCCGGGCUGCGGUGGGUGACCAGCGUCCGUGGCACUGCCAGCCUGGAUGGUGGGAUUGAGGCGAGGAAGGGCCGGGACCUCCACGUGCACCUGAACACCCCCGAGGAGGCUGUGGAGCUGCUCAGCUUCAGGUGGGCGUCCUGCACCAGCGAGAGGGAGCAGGUGCAGCAGGGGUGGGUGUGGGCAUGGGCGUGGUUCGAGGGCUUGCACACAUGCGUCUGUGAGUGUGGGUGUCCGUGAGCACCUGUGAGCACGUGUGCAUGAUUGCCCGUGUGUGUGUGAGCAUGAGCCUG